rnacentral:rRNA from 1 species
UACGUAGGGACCAAGCGUUGUUCGGAUUUAUUGGGCGUAAAGGGCGCGUAGGCGGCGCGGUAAGUCACUUGUGAAAUCUCUGAGCUUAACUCAGAACGGCCAAGUGAUACUGCAGUGCUAGAGUGUGGAAGGGGCAAUCGGAAUUCUUGGUGUAGCGGUGAAAUGCGUAGAUAUCAAGAGGAACACCUGAGGUGAAGACGGGUUGCUGGGCCAACACUGACGCUGAUGCGCGAAAGCCAGGGGAGCAAACGGG